rnacentral:rRNA from 1 species
AUGGCUCAGGACGAACGCUGGCGGUAUGCUUAACACAUGCAAGUCGAACGAGACGAGAUGGAAGGAUCCUCGGGUGACGGAAAUCUUAGAAAGUGGCGAACGGGUGAGUAACGCGUGGGUAACCUGCCCUAUGGAAAGGAAUAGCCUCGGGAAACUGGGAGUAAUGCCUUAUAAUACAUUGAAGUCGCAUGGCUUUGAUGUUAAACGCUCCGGUGCCAUAAGAUGGACCCGCGUCCCAUUAGCUAGUUGGUGAGAUAACAGCCCACCAAGGCGACGAUGGGUAACCGGUCUGAGAGGGCGAACGGUCACACUGGAACUGAGACACGGUCCAGACUCCUACGGGAGGCAGCAGUGGGGAAUAUUGCGCAAAUGGGGGCAACCCUGACGCAGCAAUACCGCGUGAGUGAAGAAGGUUUUCGGAUCGUAAAGCUCUGUUAUUGGGGAAGAAAAAAGACGGUACCCAAGAAGAAAGUCCCGGCUAACUACGUGCCAGCCGCGGC